GCCUAAACCAUGCCAAGUCGAACGAAGGCUUCGGCCUUAGUGGCGCACGGGUGCGUAACGCGUGGGAAUUUGCCCUUGGGUUCGGAAUAACUCGCCGAAAGGCGUGCUAAUACCUUUAUGAUGUCGAAAGACCAAAGAUUUAUCGCCUGAGGAUGAGCCCGCGUCGGAUUAGCUAGUUGGUGGGGUAAUGGCCUACCAAGGCGACGAUCGGUAGCCGGCCUGAGAGGGCGGACGGCCACACUGGGACUGAGACACGGCCCAGACUCCUACGGGAGGCAGCAGUGGGGAAUUGUUCGCAAUGGGCGCAAGCCUGACGACGCAACGCCGCGUGGGGGAUGAAGGUCUUCGGAUUGUA
rnacentral:rRNA from 1 species